CAUAUUCAAGAAAUGAAGGUACAUCAGGGUAGCGGUGUUGUGCACCGCUUCCAACUUGAGGGCAUUUCUGAAAACAAAUUAUAUCUCCAUCUUCGAGCUGACUAGCACGAAAAGUGAGCUUCUUAUCAAUGUGUUCACACAUGACAUUAGGUUCAAAUUUUAUUUCCUCAUAAAGUUCAAUCUCAAAGCCAGCCAUUUUGUUUAACUUAGUCAAUAUCUCCACUGGCUUGCCAAUCCCCUUCACAAACAGCCUCCCAACAAACCGGAGCUCCUCUUUCGAAGGGUCAUAAAGUUUAAAGAAAAGAAGAAUGUCCUCUUUAGUCUUCUCUGGUGGAGGGAUUGGACGCAAAUCCUGUCCAAAUUCUACUUCCAAAAACAACUUUAGCUCAGCAUUAUUUGCUUUGUUGGAAACCUCUCUUAAUUGUCCAACAGAUUGUGCUUCCUCCUGAGGAGUCAAUGGUCGAUUUGGGCGAUAUGUAUGGUUUUGGCGCUUCGCCCACAACCAAAAUCGUUGAAAUUGCACUGGUAUACCAUACUCUUUAGCAACUUCUUCCUUGAAAAGAUUAAAGGGCAUUUGUUUCUGGAUACGAAAACUACGAACUUUGUCAUGAUCCACAAGAUCAAAAUAUAUAUCCUUCCCAAUCUGUUCAAGUAGAUCCUCAUUACGAGCAACCUU
rnacentral:misc_RNA from 1 species